rnacentral:rRNA from 1 species
CCCCGGUAAACGGCGGCCGUAACUAUAACGGUCCUAAGGUAGCGAAAUUCCUUGUCGGGUAAGUUCCGACCUGCACGAAUGGCGUAAUGAUGGCCAGGCUGUCUCCACCCGAGACUCAGUGAAAUUGAACUCGCUGUGAAGAUGCAGUGUACCCGCGGCAAGACGGAAAGACCCCGUGAACCUUUACUAUAGCUUGACACUGAACAUUGAGCCUUGAUGUGUAGGAUAGGUGGGAGGCUUUGAAGUGUGGACGCCAGUCUGCAUGGAGCCGACCUUGAAAUACCACCCUUUAAUGUUUGAUGUUCUAACGUGGACCCGUAAUCCGGGUUGCGGACAGUGUCUGGUGGGUAGUUUGACUGGGGCGGUCUCCUCCUAAAGAGUAACGGAGGAGCACGAAGGUUGGCUAAUCCUGGUCGGACAUCAGGAGGUUAGUGCAAUGGCAUAAGCCAGCUUGACUGCGAGCGUGACGGCGCGAGCAGGUGCGAAAGCAGGUCAUAGUGAUCCGGUGGUUCUGAAUGGAAGGGCCAUCGCUCAACGGAUAAAAGGUACUCCGGGGAUAACAGGCUGAUACCGCCCAAGAGUUCAUAUCGACGGCGGUGUUUGGCACCUCGAUGUCGGCUCAUCACAUCCUGGGGCUGAAGUAGGUCCCAAGGGUAUGGCUGUUCGCCAUUUAAAGUGGUACGCGAGCUGGGUUUAGAACGUCGUGAGACAGUUCGGUCCCUAUCUGCCGUGGGCGCUGGAGAACUGAGGGGGGCUGCUCCUAGUACGAGAGGACCGGAGUGGACGCAUCACUGGUGUUCGGGUUGUCAUGCCAAUGGCACUGCCCGGUAGCUAAAUGCGGAAGAGAUAAGUGCUGAAAGCAUCUAAGCACGAAACUUGCCC